AAGUCGUAACAAGGUUUCCGUAGGUGAACCUGCGGAAGGAUCAUUAAAGAAAGCCCUCGAGCUUGUGCGCCAUCCCUGGCUGCACGCUCGGAGAUUCUCUUCUCACACACCUGUGCACGUUUCAAACGCGGGGACGCGUUUGCCUAUUUUCUCACAAACCAGAGAUGUCUCGAACGAUCUUGAUUUUUAAAACAAAAUACAACUUUCAACAACGGAUCUCUUGGCUCUC
rnacentral:misc_RNA from 1 species